rnacentral:rRNA from 1 species
UACAGAGGUGGCAAGCGUUGUUCGGAAUUACUGGGCGUAAAGGGCGCGUAGGCGGCCUUCUAAGUCAGACGUGAAAUCCCCCGGCUUAACCUGGGAACUGCGUCUGAUACUGGGAGGCUUGAGUAUGGGGGAGGGAUGUAGAAUUCCAGGUGUAGCGGUGAAAUGCGUAGAUAUCUGGAGGAAUACCGGUGGCGAAGGCGGCAUCCUGGACCAUAACUGACGCUGAGGCGCGAAAGCUAGGGGAGCAAACAGG